AUUGAACGCUGGCGGCAUGCCUUACACAUGCAAGUCGAACGGUAACAGGUCUUCGGUUGCUGACGAGUGGCGAACGGGUGAGUAAUACAUCGGAACGUGCCCGAUCGUGGGGGAUAACGGAGCGAAAGCUUUGCUAAUACCGCAUACGAUCUACGGAUGAAAGCAGGGGACCGCAAGGCCUUGCGCGGACGGAGCGGCCGAUGGCAGAUUAGGUAGUUGGUGGGAUAAAAGCUUACCAAGCCGACGAUCUGUAGCUGGUCUGAGAGGACGACCAGCCACACUGGGACUGAGACACGGCCCAGACUCCUACGGGAGGCAGCAGUGGGGAAUUUUGGACAAUGGGCGAAAGCCUGAUCCAGCCAUGCCGCGUGCAGGAUGAAGGCCUUCGGGUUGUAAACUGCUUUUGUACGGAACGAAAAGACUCUUUCUAAUAAAGAGGGUCCAUGACGGUACCGUAAGAAUAAGCACCGGCUAACUACGUG
rnacentral:rRNA from 1 species